rnacentral:rRNA from 1 species
GGGGAAUAUUGCGCAAUGGGGGACCCCCUGACGCCGGCACGCCGCGAGCGGGAUGAAUGCGUUCGGGUUGUACACCGCAUUCCGCAGGGCCGCAGGUUUUCUGACGGUACCUCCAGCAGCAUCACCGGCGCACUACGUGCCAGCAGCCGCGGUGAUACGUAGGGUGCGAGCGUUGUCCGGAAUUAUUGGGCGUAAAGAGCUUGUAGGCGGUCCGUCACGUCGGAAGUGAAAACUCAGGGCUUAACCCUGAGCCUGCUUUCGAUACGGGCAGACUUGAGGGAUGUAGGGGAGAACGGAAUUCCUGGUGGAGCGGUGGAAUGCGCAGAUAUCAGGAGGAACACCAGUGGCGAAGGCGGUUCUCUGGACAUUUCCUGACGCUGAGAAGCGAAAGCGUGGGGAGCAAACA